GACAAGUCACAGAAUUUAUUCGAUCCCGAGUUGGCCAAUGUCCCUACCAUCAGCGUCGAGAAGGCAACAGCAAGUGUGAUCCUGACAAACGUCUUGCUUUGCCCGGAAGCAGAUGCAGCCGCCGUGCAGGUUGGCCGUGGCAUGGGCAAUGCACAGAAGAAUUAGUGCUGCUAUUCCCUCUGCAAAAGCAGCAGAACUGGGGUUUCCACACUCGGAAUGCGAGGUUCCUGAGUGCUUUGCCUGUUCCAAGAAACAUCAAAACUAUGAUAAUCGAAUCAAGAAGUCCCUAAACCCCAGGAAACAUGGUGGCGAUUCUGAAAGUUGAUAAGACGCAAAAACACCAUUGCAGAGUUUGGAAUCUACGGAGAAACCAUUAAAGAUAAAGAUUUAUCAAAUUUUCCUGGCUGAUGGGAACUUGAUUCUUGGUUUUUCCAUGGCACAAACUCUUGCCCCUCUCAGACCAAUGUGGAGUUUGAAUGAUUUUAAGACAUGGGUUCUCCU